CAGGAGAGGAGAAUCAAUACUGCUGGGGGUGACCUCGGGUUCGGUGGCACAGUUAGACAACAGUGGUUAUCUGCUAUGUGUCACAAGCUCUCAGGAGCUGAUAGUGUCCAAACACAGACGACAUGCCUGAGGAUUAUGGAAGCAACAGCUGCUUGUUGGAGAUUAGAAGUGCAGACCUCUGAGGUCCCAUCCAACCUCACGAUCCAGUGUUAUGAGAGGAAAUAAUGGCACACACAGAUCCCUGCAGCAGGGCUGACACCAAAGAGCUGACGAUAAAGAAUCUCUCCGACCUUCUCUUGUGUAAUUGUUAGGUCACAGGACCCUCAUUCCAGGGCAGUCCCUGCCCCAUACCAAAGAGGGAAGAAUGCGACAUCAGAGAGACCAAGAGGAAUUUGAAUAAACAGGCCUUCCUAGG